rnacentral:lncRNA from 10 species
UUAAGAGUGUGUCUCUCAGUAUAUGCACCCAAUUUUCUGGAACCCCUGAAUCCGGACAGUUGUAGCAGGCAAGGGAUGCUCCCACCCUCCCACCGGGGAAGAAGAAGGCCUGCAGCUUGUCCUAGAACCAUGCAAGAGGGACCAUUGAAGCUGAAGGUGGAUUGCUGUUGGGUGGAAAGGAUGUAGUCACUCAAAAAUGCUGCCAGAAGAAGAGCAAGAGAAAAGAACAAUAGCUUCUCCCGUGAGACAAUCUCAUCCCUCCACUAGUGUCUUCUCUUGGAAUGAGCUAUUGUGCUCUGAGUGGGUAGAAAACAUGAUGGCAAGUGUAUGGUGCUGAAUCAAGGUAAAAGAGGAAAUGAUUAUGUACUCACAGAGGGUGGAACAUAAAGGUGAUUGGAAAGAAUCAGGAUGUCAGAUUGUGUUGGAUUAGUCUUCCAGCCUUCACUGAGGUCUACAGUAUAGAUACUGGAUUGGCUUAAAUUGAACGUUCUGCAAAUAAGAGAAGGUAUAUUCUUGUCCAAGAGGAUGUGGUAUCUACAUAUAGGAGGAAAGAUAUACGUGUACAUGUGGUGGCUGAACCAUUUGAUUGUUUAUAAUUCCUCUUGAGUAUACACCUAAGAGUGGAAUUGCCUGGUCACGUGGAUCAGGAUACAUAAGCAGCAAGUUCAAAGACUGAAGGAACAAGGAAUAUCAGCUCAUAAAGAUGAGAAAGAAUCAGAGCAAGAACUCUGGCAACUCAAAAGCCAAGGUGUCUUCUUACCUCCAAACAACCAUAUUAUUUCGUUAGCAACGAUUCUUAACCAGACUGAGAUUGCUGAAGU